AGCCAGUGUUAUGGUAGGCAAACUUUUAAGAGGUUUACAUAGAUUCAGAGUUCCACAGCCAGGUUCAUGGAAGGGAAACUUUAAGAGGUUUACAUAGAUUCAGAGUUCCAUAGCCAGUGUUAUGGUAGGCAAAGUUUUAAGAGGUUUACAUAGAUUCAGAGUUUAGGUUCAUGGUAGGCAAACUUUUAAGAGGUUUACAGAGAUUCAGAGUUCCACAGCCAGGUUCAUGGUAGGCAAACUUUUAAGAGGUUUACAUAGAUUCAGAGUUCCACAGCCAGGUUCAUGGUAGGGAAACUUUUAAGAGGUUUACAUAGAUUCAGAGUUCCACAGCCAGGUUCACGGAAGGCAAACUUUUAAGAGGUUUACAUAGAUUCAGAGUUCCACAGCCAGGUUCACGGAAGGCAAACUUUUAAGAGGUUUACAUAGAUUCAGAGUUCCACAGCCAGGUUCAUGGUAGGCAAACUUUUAAGAGGUUUACAUAGAUUCAGAGUUUAGGUUCAUGGUAGGCAAACUUUUAAGAGGUUUACAUAGAUUCAGAGUUUAGGUUCAUGGUAGGCAAACUUUUAAGAGGUUUACAUAGAUUCAGAGUUCCACAGCCAGGUUCACGGAAGGCAAACUUUUAAGAGGUUUACAUAGAUUCAGAGUUCCACAGCCAGGUUCACGGAAGGCAAACUUUUAAGAGGUUUACAUAGAUUCAGAGUUCCACAGCCAGGUUCAUGGUAGGCAAACUUUUAAGAGGUUUACAUAGAUUCAGAGUUCCACAGCCAGGUUCAUGGUAGGCAAACUUUUAAGAGGUUUACAUAGAUUCAGAGUUCCACAGCCAGGUUCAUGGUAGGCAAACUUUUAAGAGGUUUACAUAGAUUCAGAGUUCCACAGCCAGGGUCAUGGUAGGCAAACUUU